rnacentral:rRNA from 1 species
AGAGUUUGAUCAUGGCUCAGGAUGAACGCUGGCGGUAUGCUUAACACAUGCAAGUCGAACGGUGUCUUCGGACAUAGUGGCGGACGGGUGAGUAACGCGUGAGAAUCUGGUCUGAGGUUCGGGACAACCACUGGAAACGGUGGCUAAUACCGGAUAAGCCGAGAGGUGAAAGAUUAAUCGCCUAAGAAUGAGCUCGCGUCUGAUUAGCUAGUUGGUGGGGUAAGAGCCUACCAAGGCGACGAUCAGUAGCUGGUCUGAGAGGACGAUCAGCCACACUGGGAUUGAGAACGGCCCAGACUCCUACGGGGGGCAGCAGUGAGGAAUUUUCCGCAAUGGGCGCAAGCCUGACGGAGCAACGCCGCGUGCAGGAGGACGGCCUUCGGGUUGUAAACUGCUUUUCUUGGGGACGAGACCGGACGGUACCCAAGGAACAAGCCCCGGCUCACUACGUGCCAGCAGCCGCGGUAAGACGUAGGGGGCAAGCGUUGUCCGGAGUUACUGGGCGUAAAGCGCCCGCAGGCGGUCUUUUGCGUUCGGGCUGACAGGGACCGGCUUAACCGGCUCAG